rnacentral:rRNA from 1 species
UAACACAUGCAAGUCGAGCGGUAACAGGGGGUGCUUGCACCCCGCUGACGAGCGGCGGACGGGUGAGUAAUGCAUAGGAAACUGCCCAGUAGUGGGGGAUAGCCCGGGGAAACCCGGAUUAAUACCGCGUACGCCCUUCGGGGGAAAGCAGGGGAUCUUCGGACCUUGCGCUAUUGGAUGUGCCUAUGUCGGAUUAGCUAGUUGGUGGGGUAAAGGCCUACCAAGGCGACGAUCCGUAGCUGGUCUGAGAGGAUGAUCAGCCACAUCGGGACUGAGACACGGCCCGAACUCCUACGGGAGGCAGCAGUGGGGAAUAUUGGACAAUGGGGGCAACCCUGAUCCAGCCAUGCCGCGUGUGUGAAGAAGGCUUUCGGGUUGUAAAGCACUUUCAGUGAGGAGGAAAACUCUGCGACUAAUACUCGUAGGGCUUGACGUUACUCACAGAAGAAGCACCGGCUAACUCCGUGCCAGCAGCCGCGGUAAUACGGAGG